GCUAUGUCACUGCGCACAUGGGCUUAAGACCCUCAUCCUAGCUGCCUGGAAGUUAGUCUUCCACUAGCAGCCUUCAGAUGAAGAUGUAGAGCUCUCUGCUCUGCCUGCACCAUGCCUAUCUAGAUGUUGCCAUGCUCACAUCUUGAUAAUGGACUCAUUAUUCCCAAUUAAAUGUUGUCUUUUAUAAGACUUGCCUUGGUCAUGGUAUCUGUUUACAAUAAAACCCUAACUAAGACACUCUGCUAUAUUGUAUUGUUUGAAGAACUCACAUGGCCUAUCCAAAAGAUUAAAAGAUUAAAGAUUAAAAUCCUUUUUAUUAUGGGAGAAUAACCAACUUUCAUUUGAGAACAUCAUUUGGAGUAGGAGGAAUUAUUAUGACACAUUGAAAAAUACUGUCUAAAAUAUACCCAUACUUAACUUAUAUUUGUUGUCUACGAUUUAAAAUUAUUAUGUUGGGGAGGUCAGGGCACCAAGAUGGCAGCAUGCACAUCGUGUAUGGCUAUGGGCGGGUGCCUGCAGCAGGAACUGAAGAAUUCAUCUAUAAAUGGUUCUAAGAGCAGGACAACCAGAACUGGUGGCCUCCCACUUGCCAGUAUGAAGUGCGUGCCAUUGUCAAACCUGCACAUGGAUGUCCCAAAGGAUCUGACCAGACCUACGAUAACCACUUCCGAUGAGCCAGACACGUUGUACAAACGCCUGUCUAUUUUAGUGAAGGCCCAUGACAAGGCUGUAUCAGACAGUUAUGAGUACUUUGCCGUGCUCGCUGCUAAAGAACUUGGCAUAUCUAUUAAAGUACUGCCAAAAAAAAAAAAAAAAAAAAAAAAAAAAAAAAAAGCACUUCACUCUUCUCAAGUCGGUGCACAUCUUCAAGAAGCACAGAGUCCAGUAUGAGAUGAGGACGCUCUACAGAUAUUGGGUGUUAAGACAUUUGACAGAAUGCAUAGCCAAUGUCUACCUAGAAUAUAUCCAGUGAAACUUACCUGAAGGGGUGGCCAUGGAAGUAACAAAGACAGAUACAGCAGUUGCCAGAACACAUCAAGGAGCCGAUGUGGGAAACAAUUCCAGAGGAGAAAGAAGAAAGCAAGUCAAAGCCUCAGGGCCAGCGGCUGUGCAGGAUCUGAACUGAGCAUGUGUUCCGUGGAGAGCACCCAAGCCAAGGGGAGUCAGGGCCACCCGCCCUUGCUCAGUUGGGGCCUCAUGCCUGGGCAGCCAGGCGGAAGCAGGCUGGGUUUCAGGAAGAGCCACUGUAUCUGUUCUUUAUACCAGACUAUGCUUGUGUUCUGAUUUGAACAAAUACUGGCCAACUUCUGUAUAACCCGAAACAAAAGAACCAGACUU